rnacentral:rRNA from 1 species
UACGUAGGGGGCAAGCGUUGUCCGGAAUGACUGGGCGUAAAGGGCGUGUAGGCGGCCGAUUAAGUCUGGAGUGAAAGUCCUGCUUUCAAGGUGGGAAUUGCUUCGGAUACUGGUUGGCUUGAGUGCGGAAGAGGUAAGUGGAAUUCCCAGUGUAGCGGUGAAAUGCGUAGAGAUUGGGAGGAACACCAGUGGCGAAGGCGACUUACUGGGCCGUAACUGACGCUGAGGCGCGAAAGCGUGGGGAGCGAACAGG